AGAAGGAAGAGGAGGGGAAGGAAGGAAGGAAGGAAGGAAAGGAAGGAGGAAAAGGAGGGAGGGAGGAAGGAAGGAAGGAGAGAGAUAGGGAGGAAGGCAGGGAAAUAAAAGAGAGAGAAACUCUGUCAUCCUGUUUAAUCCUAAACUUUCCUUUAACUCUGCCAGACUCUGGGAUGAAUAGGCAGGUGCUCUCUGGUUGAAAAAUCUCUUUGCCACCAGCCUCCCCACUUCCUGUAGGAGCCUGUCCAUGCAUGGAGUGUGUCCAGAGCUUUGUGUGUAUUCCGGAAGUCAUUCAGAAACUGCUGCGAUCACCCAGGGACUCACUUUCACACCGGGCUGGCCCCAGGAGCACACAGCAGCAGUGUGUUAAGAGAUACCUAAAGCUGCUCGUGGAAAACUUCAUUUUUACCCAAAAAUUGGCAAUAGGAAAAAAAAAUGGGGAAUAGAGAUUUAAGCAAUUUAGCCAG
rnacentral:lncRNA from 1 species